rnacentral:rRNA from 1 species
AACGAACGCUGGCGGCAUGCCUAACACAUGCAAGUCGAACGAGACCUUCGGGUCUAGUGGCGCACGGGUGCGUAACGCGUGGGAACCUGCCCUUAGGUUCGGAAUAACUCCCCGAAAGGGGUGCUAAUACCGGAUAAUGUCUUCGGACCAAAGAUUUAUCGCCUUUGGAUGGGCCCGCGUUGGAUUAGCUAGUUGGUAGGGUAAAAGCCUACCAAGGCGACGAUCCAUAGCUGGUCUGAGAGGAUGAUCAGCCACACUGGGACUGAGACACGGCCCAGACUCCUACGGAAGGCAGCAGUGGGGAAUAUUGGACAAUGGGCGAAGGCCUGAACCAGCAAUGCCCCGUGAGUGAUGAAGGCCUUAGGGUUGUAAAGCUCUUUUACCCGGGAUGAUAAUGACGGUACCGGGAGAAUAAGCCCCGGCUAACUCCGUG